rnacentral:tRNA from 1 species
UGGAGGUUCAGUGGUAGAAUUCUCACCUUCCAUGUGGGAGACCCAAGUUCGAUUCCUGGCCA